rnacentral:rRNA from 1 species
ACGGAAGGCAGCAGUGGGGGAUAUUGCACAAUGGAGGAAACUCUGAUGCAGCAACGCCGCGUGAGGGAAGACGGUCUUCGGAUUGUAGACCUAAGUAGUCAGGGACGAGAUAAAUGACGGUAUCUGAAGAGUAAGCUCCGGCUAACUACGUGCCAGCAGCCGCGGUAAUACGUAGGGAGCGAGCGUUGUCCGGAUUUACUGGGUGUAAAGGGUGCGUAGGCGGGUUUGCAAGUCAGGCGUGAAAUACCGAGGCUUAACUUCGGGGCUGCGCUUGAAACUGUAGAUCUUGAGUGAAGUAGAGGUAAGCGGAAUUCCUAGUGUAGCGGUGAAAUGCGUAGAUAUUAGGAGGAACACCCGUGGCGAAGGCGGCUUACUGGGCUUUAACUGACGCUGAGGCACGAAAGUAUGGGGAGCAAACAGGAUUAGAUACCCUGGUA